rnacentral:rRNA from 1 species
GAUGAACGCUAGCGGCAGGCCUAAUACAUGCAAGUCGGACGGGAUUCAGGAGCUUGCUUCUGAUGAGAGUGGCGCACGGGUGCGUAACACGUAUGUAACCUACCUUUAUCAGGGGGAUAGCCUCUCGAAAGAGAGAUUAAGCCCGCAUAAAAUCACAGCACAGCAUUGUGUAAUGAUCAAAUAUUUAUAGGAUAAAGAUGGGCAUGCGGAACAUUAGCUAGAUGGCGGGGUAACGGCCCACCAUGGCGACGAUGUUUAGGGGAUCUGAGAGGAUGGCCCCCCACACUGGUACUGAGACACGGACCAGACUCCUACGGGAGGCAGCAGUAAGGAAUAUUGAUCAAUGGGCGGAAGCCUGAACCAGCCAUGCCACGUGCAGGAAGACGGCCCUACGGGUUGUAAACUGCUUUUAUACGGGAAUAAACCCAGAUACGUGUAUCUGGCUGAAUGUACUGUAAGAAUAAGGAUCGGCUAACUCCGUG